rnacentral:rRNA from 1 species
UGGGGAAUAUUGGACAAUGGGCGAAAGCCUGAUCCAGCCAUGCCGCGUGUGUGAAGAAGGUCUUCGGAUUGUAAAGCACUUUAAGUUGGGAGGAAGGGCAUUAACCUAAUACGUUAGUGUUUUGACGUUACCGACAGAAUAAGCACCGGCUAACUCUGUGCCAGCAGCCGCGGUAAUACAGGGGGGGCAAGCGUUAAUCGGAAUUACUGGGCGUAAAGCGCGCGUAGGUGGUUUGUUAAGUUGGAUGUGAAAUCCCCGGGCUCAACCUGGGAACUGCAUUCAAAACUGACUGACUAGAGUAUGGUAGAGGGUGGUGGAAUUUCCUGUGUAGCGGUGAAAUGCGUAGAUAUAGGAAGGAACACCAGUGGCGAAGGCGACCACCUGGACUAAUACUGACACUGAGGUGCGAAAGCGUGGGGAGCAAACA